GAUAGGAAAUAGAAAUAGUGCUGGAGAACUGGAUAUGGCUGUAAUUGCGCAGCCAAAGCAAGGAGAAGCCACGGAGUGGGCUGCAGCAUUUCAGCUUGCCAUGGAAAGUUAAAUGGUUGUGGGGAUUCUAUCAACAGCUGAAGAUGAGUUUGCUGUGCUGUACUCAAGUUGUUUUCCUUUCAAUCUGUGCUAUCUCCUUGCAGUAUUCCUCUGCCACAAAGUGGACUUCGCGUACCAGCAUUCAGCAGGAUCUGUUUCGCACCCUGACUCUUUUCCUGACGAUCUGUGACAGCUCACAUGGCCUCCAAAGAUGGGAGUGAUGGAGAUGCCCAUAAUCCAGGGAGUGUUCUGAGCUCACAGAAGCAUAAAUGCGAAUUCUGCUGCCUUUCUCACGAAAAACCUCAUCGUCAUGUGCUGCAGGACGCAAUUCCCAGGGCACAAGAGUGUGGAUUACCAUAGAGAAAUGCACGAUUACAGUCAUAUGGCCAAGGCUCUCACCAAGGCAGAUCUUUAUUUCUUCAAAUUAUUGCAGCGAACUAAAAUAUUUUGUUACAUCUCAGACAAGGAAACCUAUUCUGAAAAAAUGGGAUCUUUGGAGGGGAGAAAGUUGUUUCACCAGGAAAUGAAAAGCUCUCCAUUUCUGCACAGUCUGAGCUACGUGUGCUGUGCCGCCGAAGAAAAUAAAAGCAAUCCAUUUCUUUCUCAAGCGAAGCAUAGGAUUUUUCUCAUUCCACUGUCAAAAUAUUUUGCACUUGUGCUCUUCCCCUUCAUUUUGGAACAGUAAGGCUGCGGGUGAAAGAAGGGGCUCUGGGUGGUUGCACUGCACGUCCCCAGGAAGCGGCAUCAAUGCGGAGUGCUGGGAGCUGUCGGUGAGAUACAAAACCACAGCACAAAACAAACGCCGGCGCAAGGAUCUCACGGCUGUCCUUCUUCAGUCAUCAGGGUGUAGGUCGGGGUGUUGUAACCAAACUUCACCUUAAUUCUUCCCACCGCCAUGCCACGAUGUGUGCGCACAGAAAUUCUUCUUUUUCUGUAUGGUUUCUUCCUUUUCUGCAGCGUUCCUUCAUUUGCUAUGGCCGUUUCCAGCUGACGGCCGCUGGUUGGGAGCUCUGUACGUGUUGGGCAGUUGAGCGGAGUCGCUCUGUGGGCAAAAUCCCGUGUGGGUCAGAUUGCUGCUCAUACAUGCCCAGGCUCCAGCAAAGGCAGGGUUUGUCCCAGAGGAUCAGAGCUGCUCAGAGUGGGAGAGAACUCCGAACAACAAAUUUCCUCACCAGAUAUCAGUGCCUGUCGCUGUUGCGGAUCACGCUGCGAGCACGGCGAUCUUUCCUUGCUGCUGAUGUGUGAUCUGAAGCAAUUCUGCAGCUCUGUUCGGGCGCUUCUCGCAGGGAUUUGGGAGUAAAUGCCAUUUGGGUUCGUUUCAUUAAGCACCUCAACUCAGGGAUUUGUUUCUAAUCCUGGGACGAAAAUAUCUCCCCGCACCGCGUUUCUCAGGCAAUGUUUGUGUUCACAAAUUGAAAUAAAACGCCACUUGCC
rnacentral:lncRNA from 7 species